GUCUUUUUGGUAAUUAAUAUAAAGUCUGACCUGCCCACUGAAUAUUGUUUGAAGGGCCGCAGUAUUUUGACUGUGCAAAGGUAGCAUAAUCAUUAGUCUUUUAAUUGAAGGCUGGUAUGAAUGGUUGGAUGAGAUACAAGCUGUGUCAUAAAAAUUAAUAUUUGAAUUUAACUUUUUAGUCAAAAGGCUAAAAUAUAAUUAAAAGACGAGAAGACCCUAUAGAGCUUUAUAUAUCUGAUAUUUAAUUUAUUUAGAUUUUUUAAAUUUAAUUGUUAAUUUAUAUUUUGUUGGGGUGACAAUAAAAUUUAUAAAACUUUUAUUAUUAAUUUACAUUAAUUUAUGAAUAAAUGAUCCAGUUUUAUUGAUUAUAAAUUUAAGUUACCUUAGGGAUAACAGCGUAAUUUUUUUUGAGAGUUCUUAUCGACAAAAAAGAUUGCGACCUCGAUGUUGGAUUAAGAGUAAUUUUGGGUGUAGAAGUUCAAAAUUUAAGUCUGUUCGACUUUUAAAUUCUUACAU
rnacentral:rRNA from 1 species